rnacentral:rRNA from 1 species
AGUGAACGCUGGCGGUAGGCCUAACACAUGCAAAUCGAACGGCAGCACAGUAAGAGCUUGCUCUUACGGGUGGCGAGUGGCGGACGGGUGAGGAAUACAUCGGAAUCUACUUUUUCGUGGGGGAUAACGUAGGGAAACUUACGCUAAUACCGCAUACGACCUACGGGGGAAAGCAGGGGAUCUUCGGACCUUGCGCGAUUGAAUGAGCCGAUGUCGGAUUAGCUAGUUGGCGGGGUAAAGGCCCACCAAGGCGACGAUCCGUAGCUGGUCUGAGAGGAUGAUCGGCCACACUGGAACUGAGACACGGUCCAGACUCCUACGGGAGGCAGCAGUGUGGAAUAUUGGACAAUGGGCGCAAGCCUGAUCCAGCCAUACCGCGUGGGUGAAGAAGGCCUUCGGGUUGUAAAGCCCUUUUGUUGGGAAAGAAAAGCAGCAGGUUAAUACCCCGCUGUUCUGACGGUACCCAAAGAAUAAGCACCGGCUAACUUCGUG